GUUAGAAGAGUAAGGAAAAGGAUCUUGUUAUUUCUUUGAUGACGACCGCUGCUCUAUGUAUUCUCGUUUGUGAGGAUACAUCCCAUUUAGACUUAUUAAUACAUUUGAACUUCUUGUAAUCGUGAUUAAAUUAACAUUAAUAAAAUUGAUCGGACUAUUGCAAACCGUAAAUAGCCGCACAUGAAUCGAAAUGGGUACAACUUUUAUUAAAAUAUGAAAUACAGACGCCGAUAUAGUAAAAAAAACACCGAACUCAACCAUGGCGGCUUCUGCCAUGUCCGCUUAUUCUUGACCAACUUGACGAGGCCCGAUGCUUCUGCAACGUCGUUUUAAUCCUAUCAUGUUGCACCUCCUUGCUCUUUCCUUCUGCAUAUAUAGCUCAAACAAUAUUGAAUUAAUACAGAUAGGAAGAAGAGUAACUUAAUUAAUUAAGAAGAGCUUGCAGAUACAUAUGAUGUAGCUAGAAAAUGAUCGAUGAAACUGACCUACAGUAGUGGCCUCUGGAUAUAAUCUGGCUGCAGUUUCCACCGCCGCCGUGCCAUCUCUCGGCGACGAUAAAAGGAUGAGUAGUACUAUAAGCAAAGGAACGAUGCAAUUUCGCAGACAACUACUUGUACAGCUUUGAUUAGCCAUUAUUAUAUUUUCUGCUUAAUUAUUGUCUGCUUUCCUUGAAUGAUAUAUAUACUGGUUGUAAGAAGGAGAAGCAAAU
rnacentral:lncRNA from 1 species